UACCAUGAAUUCGGAUCACCUCGAAACGAAGUAAUUUGCUGGUCGGGGACGUAUAUGAAAAUAGAGUAAAGUCUAUUUGAUAAUGUGAUGGGGUGUAGCAUAUGUGACAGAAAAUUAAAUUUUCCAAAGCUACUUUCUUUCGCCCCACAAAUCCUCGAUAACCCACUUCUGUUACAUCACAACGUCUCUGCCAGUGGCGAUUUCUGCAAUACUCUGCCUGCUCUUGAUAUUUGGUAAGCUUCCUUCCACGAGUUUCCUGCAUGUGUUCCUCCCAGGGUGCAGUCAGUUUCCAUAUUAUCACCUGUUUGUUGAAAUUAGAGAAGUUCAAUUUGUCUUGGAGGAUUGCUUUUCGGCACGAUGUGAUCUGGAAACUUUAAUCUUUCCACAAGAUCAACUCUCAGUGGUGGAAAGUAUGCCGGACAGUUGUUGAAGUUUCAGUCAAACUGAGAAAAGUGAUGACCUCAUUCCUAGAGUAGUAUUUACUGGAUUGAGGGGCUGUCAUUAUCGUCUUCGCAACCGGUCUGAGUACCCGGUCAUACCAGAUGCUCAAGACCCUGAAAAGGUGAAUGCAAGCUGUACGUUACAUAGCUAACACGGAGUAUUGCUGAAGUGGAUAGGAACUUAAACUCCAACUUCUUACACAAGCAUUCGCCAUCUUUCUCUUGAGGAAAGUCACUUAAUUUGCCUUAAUAAGUUCACUGGAACGACAAACACCUAUGAAAUCAAGCGUGCGAAUGUCGUUAUUACGUAAGGAUGUACUUUGAAGGCAGCAAAAUGAGUCGCCAGAACGUUGGCUAGAAUGCCUUGCAAUAAUCAUUCCAGUUUUCUGCAAGUGCUAGUUCAAAUCCCGCUCAGAUCGUCUUUCAUCCUUUUUGACGUCAAUAAAUAAAAUACCAGUCGU